rnacentral:rRNA from 1 species
GACGAACGCUGGCGGCGUGCUUAACACAUGCAAGUCGAGCGGAAAGGCCCUGCUUUUGUGGGGUGCUCGAGUGGCGAACGGGUGAGUAACACGUGAGUAACCUACCCUUGACUUUGGGAUAACUUCAGGAAACUGGGGCUAAUACCGGAUAGGAGCUCCUGCUGCAUGGUGGGGGUUGGAAAGUUUCGGCGGUUGGGGAUGGACUCGCGGCUUAUCAGCUUGUUGGUGGGGUAGUGGCUUACCAAGGCUUUGACGGGUAGCCGGCCUGAGAGGGUGACCGGCCACAUUGGGACUGAGAUACGGCCCAGACUCCUACGGGAGGCAGCAGUGGGGAAUAUUGCACAGUGGGCGGAAGCCUGAUGCAGCAACGCCGCGUGCGGGAUGACGGCCUUCGGGUUGUAAACCGCUUUCGCCUGUGACGAAGCGUGAGUGACGGUAAUGGGUAAAGAAGCACCGGCUAACUACGUG